AGUUGCACCGCCGGGAGGCGUCGGCGCUGGUGUCCACGAGGUGGUCAAGCAACGGCGUUCGCGACGGCGACGUGGUGAGGCGCAGAAGACGGUGGCCACGACGGGGGUUAGGCGCGCCGACGACGGCGACUCGUUCCUGGCCGCGACGGUGACGGCGACUCGCUCCUGGCCGCGACAGUGACGGCGACUCGCUCCUGGCCGCGACGGCGACGUUGGCCGGCAGCCGUGACCUGACCGUGACGGCGAAUCGCCCAUCCUCCUCUGCUCCACCAAGAACUGUUAAGAGUGAUUUGGAGGAUUCAAGAUUCUGUGAAGCUCUUUUGACAUUUAAAGCUCAGAACUGAAGUUACAUUGUCAUAGGUUCAAUAUGACGCAAAAUAGGGCUAAGUGGACAGCAAGGUAUGAGAAAGGUCUCGUGGAGGUACUUACAGAGUACAAUCUAUCUCAUUACCGUGGCCAAAAUGGGUGGACUACCGAAGGAUGGAAUCAAGUUGUUAAGGAACUGAACAAUUUAUAUCCAGAGGCAAGGUUUACCAAGGAUCAGGUUCAAGAUAAGGAAGCUCAGUUGAAAAAGCACUAAAAAAAUAUCAAGUUGAUAGUCAACCGCUCUAGAAUAUCAUGGAAUGAUAUUGCAUGUGUGAUCAACACCACGCCUGAAAAAUGGGAAGAGAUCAUUGCAGAGGACCCAAAGCUCAAAAUGUAUGAAUGAAAGAGCUUUCCAUUGUACGAGGCAUUGGGUGUGCUCUAUGAAGGACACAUUGCGCAAGGAAGACACUGCCUCACAUCAAGGAAGCCUCCGAUUGGCACAAAAAUAGGUAGCAACUUUGGAGCGAAGGAUAAGAUGGUUGCAAGCACUAGCAAGAAAAAUACAAGACAUGGAAGAGAUGACAACGUAAGGACUUCUUCAAUAAUUGACAUCAAUGAUACUCCUACAUUAGAUGAUGUGGAUGAAAGAGAGAACACUGUCAAUGACGAGGAAGAAUUAGCCAGUGAAGAUGCUGAUGGCGAUCAACCACAAAUAAGUGAAUCAAGUGCAAAAGGGAAAAAAACUAAGAAACAAAAAGGUGCCACAUCUGUACAGCGGCUUGAAGAUUUCAUGAUGGCU